rnacentral:rRNA from 1 species
AUGAACGCUGGCGGCGUGCCUAAUACAUGCCAGUCGCGCGAACAGACGAGGAGCUUGCUCCUCUGACGUUAGCGGCGGACGGGUGAGUAACACGUGGAUAACCUACCUAUAAGACUGGGAUAACUUCGGGAAACCGGAGCUAAUACCGGAUAAUAUAUUGAACCGCAUGGUUCAAUAGUGAAAGACGGUUUUGCUGUCACUUAUAGAUGGAUCCGCGCCGCAUUAGCUAGUUGGUAAGGUAACGGCUUACCAAGGCGACGAUGCGUAGCCGACCUGAGAGGGUGAUCGGCCACACUGGAACUGAGACACGGUCCAGACUCCUACGGGAGGCAGCAGUAGGGAAUCUUCCGCAAUGGGCGAAAGCUUGACGGAGCAACGCCGCGUGAGUGAUGAAGGUCUUCGGAUCGUAAAACUCUGUUAUUAGGGAAGAACAAAUGUGUAAGUAACUAUGCACGUCUUGACGGUACCUAAUCAGAAAGCCACGGCUAACUACGUG